rnacentral:tRNA from 1 species
GGGGUCGUAGUUCAGAUGGCAAGAACGCCGGCCUGUCACGCCGGAGGUCGCGAGUUCAAAUCUCGUCGGCCCCGCCA